rnacentral:rRNA from 1 species
GACGAACGCUGGCGGCGUGCUUAACACAUGCAAGUCGAACGGAGCGAAUGAAAGCUUGCUUUUAUAAGCUUAGUGGCAAACGGGUGAGUAACACGUAGGCAACCUGCCGACAGGAUGGGGACAACAUUCCGAAAGGAAUGCUAAUACCGAAUGAAGUCAGAGAAGGGCAUCCUUUUCUGAUGAAAGAUGGCCUCUAUAUAUAAGCUAUCACCUGUCGAUGGGCCUGCGUCUGAUUAGCUGGUAGGUGAGGUAACGGCUCACCUAGGCGACGAUCAGUAGCCGGUCUGAGAGGAUGAACGGCCACAUUGGGACUGAGACACGGCCCAGACUCCUACGGGAGGCAGCAGUGGGGAAUCUUCCGCAAUGGGCGCAAGCCUGACGGAGCAACGCCGCGUGAGUGAAGAAGGUCUUCGGAUCGUAAAGCUCUGUUGAUGGGGACGAACGUGCCUAAUGCGAAUAGUAUUAGGU